AAGCUGUGGAAAUGUAAGGACUCAGCCUCUACACACGUUCUGUUGGUUGUCCUCAGAGUGGGAGCACUUGUGUCUUACUAACAGGGGCCCCCUCUUCUGUUGUCGGGCGCUGACUAUAGCACGUGUCGGUGGAACUGGAACGAAAACACGGGACAAAUCGGCCAGCUCUAGGAAUCACCCCUUAUCUUCUUGCCUUCCAAGCAGCACUGUGUGAGACCAGGCAUGAAGAAUGAUUGGGAAAACAAGCCCUUCUGUGCUGCU